rnacentral:sRNA from 1 species
GCCAGCUCUAGCAUCACAUAUACUAAAGUUGAAAUGAUCCAGAGAAGAUUUGCAUGGUCUCUGUGCAAAAAAAAAAAAAAUGGCACACAGAUGUCUGGAGUAUCCCAUAUUUAU